rnacentral:lncRNA from 1 species
UUUCCUCCAUAUUCACCAUCACCAUAUCCCUAUCUCUUCAUUUUCCACCACCAUCGUAUCCCUAUUCUAAUUUCUGCCUAUCCAAACAAUAUUGUUAUGGAGAACUCCUUGUUACCUAUAAGUAGAUCUACUGAAGAACUUUGAAAUACUCCAGAUAAUAAACAAUUUAUGUUUCAUCAUUGAGAAGAUUCGGAUAUCUUUUAGAAUCUGGGGUGAUUGCUCUCUUUGGGUCUAAGAAAUUGCAAACUAUGCAUAUGAAGAAAGUUGUAAGUUAGUGUAUUUAUAAAUACUUGUUGACAUGAUUUGAAUGGGAUGUGGCAGGUAUCCAGAAUAUCUACAGUAUCAACAAUAUUUAUGUAUUCUCUUUUGGGUUGAAUAGAUAUAAGCCUUCUGUUUGUAGUGCUAAAACUCUAAGAAAGCAGGCAUAAAUUAUCAGGAUUUUUAUUUGUGCUUACUGAAGAAAAGGAGAAGCAUGUGGUUUCUUGAGGUAAGAUUUGAGUGAAUUCAUCAAACUUGAGAUUUGGGUCCCCUGAAUCUGAUUCUGAUUUUGAUUGUGAAGAGAGGCAGCGGAGAUUGCAAGUUUGUGGUGGUUAUGGUUAUGGUUACUCAAAGGGGAAA